GAACCAUGAUGAGUCUAUCCCGAACCUGAGUGUAUGAUGACACUACUUAUGGAUCUGACUGCUGAGUU